rnacentral:rRNA from 2 species
CGUAGGUGAACCUGCGGUAGGAUCAUUG